rnacentral:tRNA from 1 species
UAGCUCAGUGGUAGAGUGCUUACAUAGCAUGCAUGAAGUCCUGGGUUCAAUUCCCAG